rnacentral:lncRNA from 1 species
GAUUUUGGCCUCAAAUUUCAAGUUCAUCUGACGAAAGAUUUUAGACACUUUUUAAACACUUAAGUGUCUAUUUCAGUUGAUUCAAUAAGUUUAUGGGAAAGAUUUUAACUGAUUUACUCAUUAAAACGCUCCGAUUCUUGCUGAAAUAUGAAUAAUCUAUCAAAUAUACCCAUAAAUGUCACUUAUAGAUGUUUUUGUCAAAAAAUGAAAGUGGAGCAUCCUGUUAUCCACAACCUUUAUAUAUGUUAUGUAUUAUCAUAAAAUACAACUUAUAUUUCAAUAUUAAGAAUGAACACGAAUGCGGCCACUUUCAUUUAACACGGAAACCGUCUAAAAUUUAACUAAAAUGCUAAAAUUGGGAAGAUUUCAGUAAUUUAGCAUGACUUAAUGAUGCUAGUACACAAUAUUUGUGCAUUGUAUUGUCAAAAACAGCCCAUAUUUAUGUAGCAGAAGCAUUUUACUUUCCAAUGUAUAACUAAAGAUAUACAUUUUAACAAUUUUGUAAACUGUUAUAUUUUGGGGCCAAAAAGGGGCCUUACUGAACCUACUCCUUU